CCCAGUCAGUCAAAAUUCUUUAAGCUGCCGUUGUUCCUUAAUUUUUGAGUCUCAAUCCACAUGAGUCUGACACUUGGUGGGCUAGACUACAGAGUACAGAAUAACAGAUAAACCUAUGAAUAUAGCAGCAUUUCAUUAUCUUGGCAAAACAUAAUUGUAAAAAGCUACACCAUUAAAUAUAUCAGUAAUAUAUCAUGUAUAUUAUUAAAUAUAUAGAUAUACUAUAUAGUUCUACAGAGUGGUGGUUAGAAUGACUUUAUUGUAUGCGACAGAGUGCUGGCCAGUCAAGAACUCUCAUGUUUAGAAGAUGCAAGUUGUGGAAAUGAGGAUGCUGAGAUGGAUGUGUGGGCAUACUAGGAGAGAUAGGAUAAGGAAUCAGAUAUCCGGGAUAAGGUGGAAGUGGCCUCUGUAGUGGACAAGAUGAGAGGAGCAAGACUGAGAUGGUUUGAGCAUGUGAGUAGGAGAUGCGCUGAUACCCUAGUAAGGAGGUGUGAAAGGUUAGAUAUAGGGGGUAUGAGGAGAGGUAGAGACAGGCCGAAGAAGUAUUGGGGAGAGGUGAUUAGACAGGACAUGGUGCAGCUUCAGCUAACAGAGAAUAUAACCUUAGGUAGUAGGGUUUGGAGAUCACGGAUUAGGGUAGAAGGUUAGUCGGUAGUCGAGCCUGCCUCGCUUUUCAAUAGGAUUAGGCUUGGUGGUAGUCUGGAGCACCGUGUCGGUCGUAAUAUUAGCCUUAUCAUGUAGUUUCUUGCUUUUUGGUAGCUAUUAACAUCUAUUGUGUACUGCGUUUGGAUUAUCACACUAUGUCGUUGUUGUUACUAUUCCUUUCUGAAUGCUCUGCACAACUUUCCUUAUUAAUUGUCAUGUUUUCAUUAUUGCCAUAGUUCCUCUUUCAUAACUUCUUUGCUUUGUUGCAUUCGAGUUGAGGGUCUUUCGGACACAGCCUCUCUACCUACAUGAAGUAGGAGUAAGGUUUGCGUGCACUCUACCCUCCCCAGACCCACUUGUGGGAUUACACUGGAUAUGUUGAUAUUGUUGUACAGAUAUAAUAUAUACUGGGAAAAAAAAAAGGAGACAAUUGUUCAACAAUAACUAUGGUAGACGACAAAAUAUAUUUUGUGUACUGUAAGUGUCAUUUAACAUAUCAAUAUACAUUAUACCAUGAUUCAAAAGUAAUCAUGGGAUACUGCCAUGAUUUGAGAAUGAUCAUGGUAUACUGUAUAACAAUAUCCAUUGGUGUAUUGCGAAUAUGAUUUCACAUACAAAUCACAGUAAACCCAUGAUUCAAUAGUGUUCAUGGAUAUACUUACCAAUAUAUCGUUUUUAUAUGAUGAAUAUCAUUUAACAUACCAAUAAUCAUAGUGUUCAUGGUAUACGACAUAAUAUACCCACAUAAAACAAAAGUCAAAAGUAUACUGGUAUACUAAAUAGUAUUGACAAAAUAGAGAAUUCAACAAGAAGCUCUCAAGGAGCAACAAUGGAGAAAAUGAGAAGUAAGCUCCCAGUUGUGACUGGAGAGAAUCGAUUGAAUUGAAUGAGGAUAUUACAAGUACUGUGUUCUUAUAUAAAAUAAAGAAGAGAGGAAAAUAACUAACUAAUCCUACAGCUGGCACUAAACUAACCGACCUAGUCAACUAAAAUAUCUAAGGCUAUGCUGAGCUAAGAGUGACUAGAUAAGUAAAAUGUGUUACAUUAAAUACAAGUCCCCCCCCCCCCCCCCCCCGGCUGCAGGUGGAGGUGAGGGACUCACUAACAGCUUGAGAAGAAGAAGAGAAUGCUUGACCCCAGACAAGGAUUUGGUGAAGAUGUCUGCCAAUUGUGCAUGGAGUUGAGAUGUGAUGCAAAGAGAUUAACCCUUCCUGAAGCUUGUCCCGGACGAAAUGACAAACAACUUCGAUGUGUUUGGUACGCUCAUGAAACACAAGAUUCUUAGCAAUGUGGAGAGCAACUUGGCUAUCACAAUACACAGGGACAGGUGGUGCAAAGGGCACUGUCAGUUCUUCAAGCAGUCGAGUAAGCCAAACAAGCUCUCCAACAACCUUUCUAACUGACCUGUACUCUGCCUCACCAGAGGACAAAGAUAUGGUUGUUUGUUUCUUUGACUCCCAGCUAAUGGGAGUGUCACUAAGGAGAACAAUAUACCCACUAACUGACUUCGUAGACUCAGGGCAAGCAGCCCAAUCAGAGUCACAAUAAGCAUUGAUUGAGUAGCCCUGCUUGUUUGACAUGAAGACACCCAGACAAGGAUCACCUUUUAAGUACCUUAGAACAUGAAAAGCAGCUUUGAGGUGAGUAUCUCUUGGAUGUUGCAUGUAUUGGCUGAGGUGCUGGACACUGUAAGCAAUGUCCAACCUUGUGCCAGUCAGAAAAUUGAGCUUCCCAAUGAGUUUCCUGUAAUAAACAGGAUCAGACAACAAAACACCUUCAUCAGCCCUGAGUUUGAUGGAAGGAUCUAGAGCCGGUAAUUAUCCGGUAUCGUUGAUUGAGCAACUCUUUUACUUGAAUGAUUGUGAGAAGGUCGAUGAUCGAUGAUCUAUUCCGGCAUCGUUGUUGCAUGGCCAAUU